UCCGCGUGGAGCUGUUGGGUGAGGAACAGACGUCCACAGAUGGGCAACACAAGAAAAUGGAAA
rnacentral:tRNA from 1 species